rfam:Clostridium novyi NT, complete genome.
UUAACCUUUAAUUUAGUCCAGAGAGAUUAGAAAGGUGGUACUUAGAGUGUGGAUAUUUACUAUGCUAUAAGUAUGACGUUUAUAAUGAUGGUAAAUUUAAAAACCUUCUGCUCUGUGGCAGAAGGUUUUUUUAUU